rnacentral:rRNA from 1 species
GCACCGGCUAACUCCGUGCCAGCAGCCGCGGUAAUACGGAGGGUGCAAGCGUUAUCCGGAUUCACUGGGUUUAAAGGGUGCGUAGGAGGGCAGGUAAGUCAGUGGUGAAAUCUCCAAGCUUAACUUGGAAACUGCCGUUGAUACUAUCUGUCUUGAAUACCGUGGAGGUGAGCGGAAUAUGUCAUGUAGCGGUGAAAUGCUUAGAUAUGACAUAGAACACCAAUUGCGAAGGCAGCUCGCUACACGAAUAUUGACUCUGAGGCACGAAAGCGUGGGGAUCAAACAGGAUUAGAUACCCUGGUAGUCCACGCCCUAAACGAUGGAUACUCGACAUACGCGAUACACAGUGUGUGUCUGAGCGAAAGCAUUAAGUAUCCCACCUGGGAAGUACGACCGCA